rnacentral:rRNA from 1 species
AUACGGAGGGUGCAAGCGUUAUCCGGAUUCACUGGGUUUAAAGGGUGCGUAGGCGGGCUGUUAAGUCAGUGGUGAAAUCUUUGGGCUUAACCCGAAAACUGCCAUUGAUACUAUCAGUCUUGAAUAUUGUGGAGGUCUGCGGAAUAUGUCAUGUAGCGGUGAAAUGCUUAGAUAUGACAUAGAACACCAAUUGCGAAGGCAGCAGGCUACGCAUAUAUUGACGCUGAGGCACGAAAGCGUGGGGAUCAAACAGGAUUAGAUACCCUGGUAGUCCACGCCCUAAACGAUGGAUACUCGACAUACGCGAUACACAGUGUGUGUCUGAGCGAAAGCAUUAAGUAUCCCACCUGGGAAGUACGACCGCAAGGUUGAA